AACAGAGUUGAAAGGCCAGAACGAUCUGGGAGAGAAGUAUCAGGGCACAGUGUGAGAGGCGCUCCCCCUGGGAAUCGUAGCAGCGCUUCGGGGUACGGGAGCAGAGAGGGAGACAGAGGAGUCAUCACAGACCGAGGAGGUGGAUCACAGCACUAUCCUGAGGAGCGACAUGUGGUUGAACGCCAUGGACGGGACACAAGCGGACCAAGGAAAGAGUGGCAUGGUCCACCCUCUCAAGGGCCUAGCUAUCAUGAUACGAGGCGAAUGGGUGACGGCCGGGCAGGAGCAGGCAUGAUAACCCAACAUUCAAGUAACGCAUCCCCAAUUAAUAGAAUUGUACAAAUCAGUGGCAAUUCCAUGCCAAGAGGAAGUGGCUCCGGAUUUAAGCCAUUUAAGGGUGGACCUCCGCGACGAUUCUGAAAAUGAGCUCUCUGCCAAGGUUUUAAGAUAAUUUAUUGAAAUCUCCUGUAAACUUUACUUGACUACUUAUGAAGAGGACCUCUGACUUGCUUGAGAGUUCUGUCAGACUUUUCUUUUUAAAAAUUUAACAUGAUUGCUUUUCUCAAUUUUGGAGAAGAUGUUUAAAUAGUUCUGUUGUAACUUUUAAUAGUUUUGUGUAUCAUUCAACUUUUUUUCUUGCAGCACCGAGGCACAUUUGAAAAGAUGGAAUUGAAGUCGUUUUGUUUAACGCUGUGUGAAUAUAAAGAGUAGUUUGCAGCUGUGUGGUAGUGGUUUAAUUUGCAGCCUUAGCUCUGUGGUGUCUGGCUCUAGAGUUACUUCUUUUUACCAAGCAUUUUCAGCCUCCAUUUUGAAGGCUGUCUACACUUAAGAAGUCUUAGCUGUCUAAUUUUUAGAGAAUAAGAUUGUUCAUUGCAUUUCUGAGUAUUAUGUAACCUAUUUUUGCAGAAGGUACUGUUACAUUAAGUGCAUCUGUGUAUCCUGGUUUAAAAAAAUGUAAUCUUUUUUGAAAUAAACCUUCAUAUUCUG
rnacentral:lncRNA from 1 species